GACGAACCGUGCGAACGUGGUUCGGAAUUACUGGGCGUAAAGGGCGCGUAGGCGGCUCAUCAAGUCGGGCGUAAAAUCUCCGGGCUUAACCUGGAAAAGUCGUUCGAUACUGUUGGGCUAGAGUGUGGAAGAGGCUACUGGAAUUCCGUGUGUAGCGGUGAAAUGCGUAGAUAUGCGGAGGAACACCGAUGGCGAAGGCAAUCCCCUGGGCCUGCACUGACGCUCAUGCACGAAAGCGUGGGGAGCAAACAGG
rnacentral:rRNA from 1 species